GGUCAAGCGUUAAGAGCGCAGGGUGGAUGCCUUGGCACUAAGAGCCGAUGAAAGACGUGAUAAGCUGCGAAAAGCUUCGGGGAGGAGCAAAUAUCCAAUGAUCCGGAGAUAUCUGAAUGGGGAAACCCGGCUGAGCAAACCUCAGUCAGCGUAUGGUGAAUCCAUAGCCAUGCGUGGGGAACCGCCUGAACUGAAACAUCUAAGUAGGGCGAGGAAAAGAAAGAAAACUCGAUUUCCAAAGUAGCGGCGAGCGAAAUGGAAAGAGGCCAAACCGGAGUGCGUGCACUCCGGGGUUCGGACCGCAUAAUUGAUUCUGUGAUUCUAGUGGAACGGUUUUGGGAAAGCAGACCAGAGAGGGUGAAAGUCCCGUACACGAAAGGAAAGCAGACAUGGCGGGAUCCAGAGUACCGCGAGACACGUGGAACCUUGCGGGAACAAGCGGGGACCACCCCGUAAGCCUAAAUACUCCUUAGUGACCGAUAGCGCAUAGUAC
rnacentral:ncRNA from 1 species